GUGCUUGGGUAGCUCAGUUGGUAGAGCACUUGCCCUCGAGAGGCAAAGGUCCCGAGUUCGAGUCUCGGCCGGUACA
rnacentral:tRNA from 1 species